UUGCGUUAGGGAUAGCAGUGAAAAUCCUUUUGCAAAAUGAAAUGACGCAAAAGAUUGAAACGGAUAGCCCGGCCUAAA
rnacentral:sRNA from 1 species